AUGCACCACUCGUACACUCCGGUUUUUAGCGCACCAUCCACACCGCUUGACAACUGCUCGCUACGUUCUGUUGGCC
rnacentral:sRNA from 1 species